rnacentral:rRNA from 1 species
CUUUCCCUCUUUCUUCCUGCUUUACACAUGCAAGUCGAACGGCAGCGCGGGCUUCGGCCUGGCGGCGAGUGGCGAACGGGUGUGUAAUACAUCGGAACGUGCCCAGUAGUGGGGGAUAGCUCGGCGAAAGCCGGAUUAAUACCGCAUACGACCUGAGGGUGAAAGCGGGGGAUCUUCGGACCUCGCGCUAUUGGAGCGGCCGAUGGCAGAUUAGCUAGUUGGUGGGGUAAAGGCCUACCAAGGCGACGAUCUGUAGCUGGUCUGAGAGGACGACCAGCCACACUGGGACUGAGACACGGCCCAGACUCCUACGGGAGGCAGCAGUGGGGAAUUUUGGACAAUGGGCGAAAGCCUGAUCCAGCAAUGCCGCGUGUGUGAUGAAGGCCUUCGGGUUGUAAAGCACUUUUGGCGGGAACGAAAAGGACUGUGCCAAUACCACGGUUCAAUGACGGUACCCGCAGAAUAAGCACCGGCUAACUACGUG